rnacentral:rRNA from 1 species
ACUCCUACGGGAGGCAGCAGUGGGGAAUAUUGGACAAUGGGCGAAAGCCUGAUCCAGCCAUGCCGCGUGUGUGAAGAAGGCCUUUUGGUUGUAAAGCACUUUAAGCGAGGAGGAGGCUACUUGGAUUAAUACUCUAGGAUAGUGGACGUUACUCGCAGAAUAAGCACCGGCUAACUCUGUGCCAGCAGCCGCGGUAAUACAGAGGGGUGCGAGCGUUAAUCGGAUUUACUGGGGCGUAAAGCGUGCGUAGGCGGCUUUUUAAGUCGGAUGUGAAAUCCCUGAGCUUAACUUAGGAAUUGCAUUCGAUACUGGGAAGCUAGAGUAUGGGAGAGGAUGGUAGAAUUCCAGGUGUAGCGGUGAAAUGCGUAGAGAUCUGGAGGAAUACCGAUGGCGAAGGCAGCCAUCUGGCCUAAUACUGACGCUGAGGUACGAAAGCAUGGGGAGCAAACAGGAUUAGAUACCCUGGUAGGAAACCC